AACAAACGCUGGCGGCGUGCCUAACACAUGCAAGUCGUACGAGAAAGUCCGCUUCGGUGGAUAAGUAAAGUGGCGCACGGGUGAGUAACGCGUGGAUAAUCUACCCUUAAGUUUGGAAUAACUCAUCGAAAGGUGGGCUAAUACCGAAUGAUACUGCACAACUACUGUUGUACAGUCAAAGAAGGCCUCUGUUUACAAGCUUUCGCUGAAGGAUGAGUCCGCGUACCAUUAGCUAGUUGGUAGGGUAAUAGCCUACCAAGGCGACGAUGGUUAGCUGGUCUGAGAGGAUGAUCAGCCACACUGGAACUGAGACACGGUCCAGACUCCUACGGGAGGCAG
rnacentral:rRNA from 1 species